rnacentral:rRNA from 1 species
AACGAACGCUGGCGGCAGGCCUAACACAUGCAAGUCGAGCGAGAUCUUCGGGUCUAGCGGCGGACGGGUGAGUAACGCGUGGGAAUAUGCCUCUUGGUACGGAAUAGCCUCGGGAAACUGGGAGUAAUACCGCAUGUGCCCUUUGGGGGAAAGAUUUAUCGCCAAGGGAUUAGCCCGCGUUGGAUUAGGUAGUUGGUGGGGUAAUGGCCUACCAAGCCGACGAUCCAUAGCUGGUUUGGGAGGAUGACCAGCCACACUGGAACUGAGACACGGCCCAGACUCCUACGGGAGGCAGCAGUGGGGUAUCUUAGACGAGGGGGGCAGACCUGAUCUAGCCAUGCCGCGGGAGUGAUGAAGGCCUUAGGGUUGUAAAGCUCUUUCAGCUGGGAAGAUAAUGACGGUACCAGCAGAAGAAGCCCCGGCUAACUCCGUG